CCCCUAGAGGGGGCUGUAGAGGGGGCUGCAGGGCCCCAGAGGGGGCUGAGAGGGGCUGAAGGGCCCAUAGAGAGGGCUGUAGAGGGGGCUGAGGGCGUGGCCCCUAGAGGGGGCUGUAGAGGGGGCUGCAGGGCCCCUAGACGGGGUUGUAGAGGGGGGCUGAGGGCCCCUAGAGGGGGCUCAAGGCGUGGCCCCUAGAGGGGGGCUGCAGGGCCCCUAGAGGGGGGCUGUAGAAGGGGGCCGUAGAGGGGGGCCGCAGGGCCCCUAGAGGGGCCUUAUGGCCGGUUCAGACUACAAGAUUCUCAGACAUUCCUCCACGAUUUAACAUGUCACACUAUACGAUCACAGAGCCAGGAAAUCGGGCCUUGUCUCGUCGUAAGACUGGCCACACUACAAGAUUCGAGGGUGCGAUGCUCUCUACUUUGUAUCAUUCACUUUUGCAAGAUAUUUUGAUGUUUUUUACAUUUUUGUCAUAAAGGUUCUAGUCGUUUUUAUAUCUGCUCAAUGCAGCAAUUCCUCACAGUAGUUGCGUUGCGCGUGACAUGAACUAUACAAAGUACCCGCAGCAACAACGUAGCCUAGCAACAAAGCGUCAACAAUGGAUCCCGAGUACCUAGCACUAGGCAUUAUGCUGGUGGUCCUUUGCACAGAGACGGUUCAUGAUAGGUUAUGAUAGCUAUUAGCACGUCAACAGCUGAUUGCUUCCACCAAAGUUGUCUCCAUUAUAUUGCUCCAUUUUCUAUCGUUUUCUUUAUUAACAUUCUUCUUGUUAUUGAUCGCAUCCAUUUUUGCAGUAGUUACUCAAACUCAGCGUAGUGCAGUGAAGUCAGUUGGUAAACACAGCGCGUAAGCUCCAGCUGUUCGCGGGCUUCCCUCACGCAACUGGGGGCGUGGUUCCCUCAUGUCCACAAUGUAUACGUCAUACGAUUCCCCAAAAAAUUCUGACAUGCCAAACCUUCGUCUUGGGGUUUUUGAACGGAAACAUCGCAGAUCGCAAGCAUGUCACAUUACAAGACCUCUUCUCGUCGCCGACCUGUCAAAAUCGUGUGCGAUUCGCAAAUUUGUCUGCGACGAAAGAAUCGGGGCAAAAUCGGGCGGAAAUCGUGUAGUCUGAACCAGCCAUUAGAGGGGGGCUGAGGGCCCCUAUAGAGAGCUGUAGAGGGGGCCCUAGAGGUCUCAAGGCCCCUAGAAGGGUCUUCUGAGGGGGCUGAGGGCGUGGCCCCUAGAGGGGGUUGAAGGCGUGGCCCCAAGAAGGGGCUGUAGAGGGGCUGAGGGCAGGGCCUCUAGAGGGGGGCUGUAGAGGGGGCUGAGGGCUCCUAGAGGGGGCUGAGGGCACCUAGAGAGAGGGCUGAGGGCCCCUAGAGGGGGCUGUAGGGGGGGCUGAGGGCUCCUAGAGGGGGCUGUAGAGUUGAGCCCCAGGGCCCCUAAAGGGGGCUGUAGGGAGGGGGGCUGAGGGCCCAUAGAGGGGGCUGUAGGGAGGGGGGAUGAGGGCCCCUAGAGGGGGCUGUAGGGAGGGGGGCUGAGGUCCCACAGAGGGGGCUGUAGAGGGGGGCUCAAGGCGUGGCCCCUAGAGGGGGCAGUAGAGUGGGGCCGCAGGGCCCAUAGAGGGGGCUGUAGCCCUUAUAGACAGCUGUAGAGGGGGCUGAGGGCAUGGUCCCUAGAUGGGCUGGGGGCCCCUAGAGGGGGCUGGAGAGGGGAAUGAGGGCGUGGCAAAAGGUGGACGUCCGUCCAGUGGAUGCCACUCGGGCUCCCCGGGGUUCUCUCUACAAGUUCAUCCAAGGGAUGGCCCUAGGGGCCCUGGGUCUAUCCGUCUCGACAUUCAUCCAGGGGACGUCCUCGGGCCCCUUGGUCUCCGUCUCCACGUUCAUCCAGGGAAUGUUCUCGGGCCCCUGGGUCUCUCUCUUUAGAGGGGGCUGAGGGUGUGCCCCCUAGAGGGGGGCUGUAGAGGGGUCUGAGGGCGUGACACCUAGAGGGGGCUGAGGGCGUGAUCCUUAGAGGGAGGCUGUAGAGGGGGCUGUAGAGGGGAAUGAGGGCGUGGCAAUAGGUGGACGUUCAUCAAGUGGAUGCCACUCGGGCUCCCCGGGGUUCCCUGUACAAGUUCGUCCAAGGGUCUCCCCGUUCAUCCAGGGGACGUCCUCGGGCCCCUGGGUCUCUCCGUCUCCACAUUCAUCCAGGGGAUGUUCCAUGUGCCCCUGGGUCUUCCCUUCUCCCCGUUCAUCCAGGGGACAUCCUCGGGCCCCUGGGUCUCCCUCUAUACGUUAAUCUAGGUGACGUCCUCAAGCCCCUGGGUCUCUCUCUAUACGUUCAUCCAGGGAACGUCCUCGGGCCCCUUGGUCUCUGUCUAUAUUUUCAUCCAGGGACCGUCCUCUGGCCCCUGGGACUCUCUCUAUGCGUUCAUCUAGGGGACGUCCUCGGGCCCCUGGGUAACUCUGUCUCCAAGGUCAUCCAGGGGACGUCCUCGGGCCCCUGGGUCUCUCCGUCUCCAUGGUCAUCCAGGGGACGUCCUCGAGCCCCUGGGUCUCUCUCUAUACGUUCAUCCAGGGGACGUCCUCGGGCCCCUGGGUCUCUCUCUAUACGUUCAUCCAGGGGACGUCCUCGAGCCCCUGGGUCUCUCUCUAUACGUUCAUCCAGGGGACGUCCUCGAGCCCCUGGGUCUCUCUCUA
ensembl:lncRNA